rnacentral:rRNA from 1 species
AAAGAGUUUUCCUCGCACGGAAGGAAUUGCUAAAUUAUUAUAUUGUUAACCGGCAAACGUGUGCGUUCCGCUUGCGAACAAUAUAGCAAUAGAACAAUUUCCCAGAGCGAUGAAUGACAUCCUCUUCUUUCCGAAUAUUUUUACCACUCCAGAGACAGUGCCUGCUGGGCAGUUUAACUGGGGCGGUUGCCUCCUAAAAAGUAACGGAGGCGCGCAAUGGUUCACUAGCGCCGGAUGGAAAUCGGCGUGGUCGUGUAAUCGCACAAGUGAGCCUAACUGUCAGGGUGACAACCCGAGCAGAAGCGAAAGCUGGUGAUAGUGAUCCGGUACCCGAACAUAUUUACUAUGUUCUAACCACGUGGGUGGGGUA